rnacentral:lncRNA from 1 species
UGCGAGAGACGACCGUGUGAUCGAUGAAGGCAUGGUCGUGCGCAGCACACGGCCGUGUGGUGGCUCGAGUGUGGCCGUGUGGGCCACACGGGAAAGGCCAAGUUGGGCGUGUGGAUUUUGGGCUAGGACGUGUGGACCACACGAGCAGGACCAAUCUAGGCAUGUGGGCCACACGGGCGUGUGGGCCCAAACGAGUAUAUGGGCCCAUAAUUCUAUAAUUUUCCCUAGGGUCGCACGAUUCGCUCUGAUCGAUUGUGUGUAAC